rnacentral:rRNA from 1 species
UACGUAGGGCGCAAGCGUUGUCCGGAAUUAUUGGGCGUAAAGGAGCUCGUAGGCGGGUCUGUUAGCGUCCGCUGUGAAAACCCGGGGCUUAACCCCUGGGCUGGCAGUGGAUACGGGUAGACUGAGAGGGCAGGUAGGGGAGAAUGGAAUUCCGGUGUAGCGGUAGAAAUGCGCAGAGUAAUCAGGAGGAACACCGGUGGCGAAGGCGGACUCUGGGCCAUUACUGACGCUGAGGAGCGGAAAGCGUGGGGAGCGAACAGG